rnacentral:tRNA from 1 species
AUUUAUAUAGUUUAAUAAAAACCUUACAUUUUCAUUGUAAAAAUAAGAUUUUUCUUUAUAAAUU